rnacentral:lncRNA from 10 species
GGAAGAAGCAACAGGAUUGUACCCACCUAUAACGAGAAAGCUUAACUUACUGACAUAUUCUCAUUGCUGAAGACUCUGUCUGAAUGAGGAUUUCAAUCUCAAGUCUAGGAUGUGAUUUCAUCUGGUAAAUGUCUUAUGGAAGGCUGAGGAGCAGCCUAAUGAGGUGAAGGGGAGAGGCAGACACGGAAGAAGCGCAUCUGUAGCUAAGAAAGAAAUACACUGACCCCAUUUCCAGUGGUUGAGCUUCUCUCCAAGUAGGUAGAUGCUGGCGAUGAAGACGUAGCUGAGAGAGAAGAAAGCUGCUAGACCCAAGAGGCUGAGUUUGGCAAACACAGGAUACACCCAGGUACCCGUCUCAAAGUAGAGCCAUAGGAUGCUGCAGGAAAUAAGAAGUCGUGGUGGUUAUAGCAGGAGGAGAAAAACAAGCCAUUUUCUCAUCAGGAUUAAUGAGGUACUGGUACCCAGGCAGGGGAAGAGAACCCAUCAGGGACGUUUGUCAACAGCUGUAGUAUUCCCACAAACCUAAAGAAGUGAGGCUUUUCUGGGUAAAUCAACUUGAUUCAAUAAGACAUGCUGUUUGAUGGGCUGGGCUGGGCUGUUUUACCUAAUCCACUUAAAUUCAACAUUGGUGAAAAAAUAUAAGAGAACAUAGGGCCAGGCACUGUGGCUCAUGCCUGUAAUCCCAGCACUUUGGGAGGCUGAGGGGGGUGGAUCACCUGAGGUCAGGAGUUCGAGAGCAGCCUGGCCAACAUGAUGAAACCCCAUCUCCACUAAAAAUACAAAAAAUUAACUGGGCAUGGUGGCUCAGGCCUGUAAUCCCAGCUACUAGGGAGGCGGAGGAAGAAGAAUCGCUUGAACCUGGGAGGCAGAGGUUGCAGUGAUCCAAGAUCACGCCACUGCACUCUAGCCUGGGCAACAAGAGUGAAACUUUGUCUCAAAAACAAACAAACAAACAAACAAACAAACAUAGAACCAUCGUUAGCUAAAGAACUAAAGAGAGUAUGUGGGAACAUGAAUGAUCCCUUUCCCUGAGAGGUAUGGCCUGCUGAGACAUUGAACCUGCUAUUAUGGCAUUGAUUUUGCUGGCUCUAAGCCAGAGAAGUGGGGUUUGCUUUUUUGGAUCUAAGAAUCAGGUGCAGCUUUCCCUUAGCUCUCCAAGUCUGCGGGGAUGAGGGAGCAGAGAUAGAGCGUUAUUGCCCUAACACAAUAUGCCUAGGAUUUAACUGUCGGCCCUGAUUUUCACUCAUGCAUAUAGCCAUAAAUAGAGUGUUAGGCAGUAAUGCAUGGAUUUGCAGGGAGGCUCAGAUCUUGCUUAUGUGAGGAUAGGCUGUAAGUCAUUUCUGGAAGCCGAGAGAAGGAAAAGAAAUGCUAGGAGAAGAGCCAUGAUGUCUAAGUGAAGCCUAAAAAUGCAGUUUGCUGGAAACCAACUGCACUGGAAGGUGCCAAAGUCUGAAAUAACUUUAAAAAAUUAAAUGUGGGGAAGCUGAUGCAUCAGCUACAGUUCAUCAUUGGUUAGGAGCACAGAAUCUGGAACUGGGCUUCUGUGAUUCAAACCCCAGCUCUGCCACCUAGUAGCUAUGUUACCUCCAGCAAUUUCAUCAACCUUUCUGUCCCCAUCUCCUCAAUGUGUAAAGUGAAGAUCCAAACAGCAUACACCUUCUAAGGCUGUUGUAAAGAUUACGGGAGUUAACACAUGUAAAAGACACAGAACAGUGCUUGGCACAUUGUAAUAUUUGACAAGAGUUCAAAAGCUUCCAUCUCCACUGAGGGAUGGCACAAUGGGAGUGCUCUCAGAAAGCCUUCUUUGAAGCUGCUGAUCUCUUGUAGCAAUUAGGAUAGGCCAGGUUAUGCUUCAAAAACAAUAUUUAAAUUUGAAUAUCCCACGUUGUCAAAGGAAUUCAGAUGGAAGAAUGAAAUUCUGUGCUUAAACUUUCAGAAACCCAAGGGUGAUCUCUGUCAUUUCAAAUACUUGAAGUUUGUUAAAUGGUUUGUGGAAGAGUCAAGGGCUAUAUUCAGGACCGGGAGUAGGGUGAAGCAAGAGAGGCCCUAGGGUGUAAAACUUAAGGGAUCAUCUCUGCAACAAAGGACACAAUAAACAGUGUGAAAAGGCAAUCCAUGGAAUGGGAAACAAUAUUUCUAAUCAUAUCUCUAAUAAGGGGUUAAUAUCCAAAAUAUGUAAAAUAUUCCUGUAACUCAACAAUAACAAAAAACCCAAAUAACUCAAUUAAAAAUGGACAAAGGACUUGAAUAGACCUUUUACAGAGAAGAUACAUAAAAGGCCAACAAAUGCAUGAAAGGAUGUUCAACAUCACUAAUAACUAGAAGAAAUGCAAAUCAAAAUGACAGUGAGAUAUUGUCUUACACUCAUUAGGAUGGAUACUAUAUUUUUUUUAAAAAGACAAGAUAACAAGUGUUAGUAAGGACAUAGAGAAAUUGGAACCCUUGUUCAUUGUUGGUAGGAAUGGAAGAUGGUACAUCUGCCUUGGAAAACUAUAUGGUGGUUCUCCCCAAAAUUAAAAUAGAAUUACCAUCUGAUCCAGCAAUUCCACUUCUGGGUACACACCCAAAAGAACUGAAAACAUGGCUAACAUGGUGAAACCCCAUCUCUACUAAAUAUACAAAAAAUUAGCCAGGCGUGGUGGCAGGUGCCUGUAGUCCCAGCUACUUGGGAGGCUGAGGGCAGGAGAAUGGCAUGAACCUGGGAGGCAGAGCUUGCAGUGAUUGGAGAUCGCGCCACUGCACUCCAGCCUGGGCGAGAGAAUGAGACUCUAUCUCAAAAAAAAAAAAAAAAGGAAUUGAAAACAGGGAUCUGAAGAGAUAUUUGUACACCCAUGUUUAUAGCAGCAUUAUUCACAAUAGCCUGAAGGUGGAAUCUCCCCAAGUGCCCACUGAUAGAUGAAUGGAUAAAUAAAAUGUGGCUUAUACAUAGGCAUUAAGAAGGAAGAACAUUCUGACACAUGCUACCACACAGAUCAACUUUGAAGACAUGGUAAGUGAAAUAAACCAGUCGUAAAAGGACAAAUACUGUAUAAUUCCAUUUAUAUGAGAAACCUAGAAUGUCAGAUUCAUAGAGGGAGAAAGUAGAAUGGUGCUUGCCAUGUGGUUGCGGGAGGAGGCAGCGGGGAAUGCUAUCUAUGGUUUCAAUAUGGUUUGUUUGUUCGUACCAAAACUCAUGUUGAAAUUUGGUCCUGCGUGUGUUGGUGUUGGGAGGGGGAGCCUAGUGGGAGGUGUUCGGGUCAUGGGGUUGGAUCUCCUAAGAAUGGUUUGAUGCUGUUCUUGUGAUAGUAAGCUCUAGAAAUGGAUUUUUUCUAUGAGAAUGGGUUGUUAUAAAUCUAGGGUGCCCCUCAGGUUUUGCCCUUUUCACACGUGUCCAUUUCCCCUUUGAUCUUCUCCACCACAUUGUGAGGCAGCAGUAAGGCCCUUGUCGGCAGCCAGGGCCAUGCCCUUGAACUUCUCAGCCUGCAGAAUAUGAACUAAAUAAACCUCUUUUCAAUCUCUGAUAUCCUUUUAUAGCAACACAAAAUGGACUGAGCCAGGGAGUUAUUGUUUAACGGGUAGACUUUCAGUUUGGGAAGAUGUAAAAGUUCUGGAGAUGGAUGGUGGUGAUGGAUGCACAACAAGGCAUUUUGGUUGAAUAAGAACUAAGGUUUGAACAGGAAAGAUGAGAAGAGCAGGAGAUGAGAUACCCUCUCCUCUCCUAGUCCUCCACCUCCAUCCCUCUUCAGUUUGGAUCCUGGCUGGGCUGGACCCCGCAUGUUGACAACAAGGAUGUGUUGUGUGGCAUCUUUUUAAUUAAUUUUCAUAUAUGAAUUUACAGGUAGGGUAAGGAUUUCUUCUGUGGAAAAUGGUGCUGAGAUUCCAAUCCCUGCUGAGUUGAGGUUAUAAAGCUAUGGUUGACCUGGAUGAUCUCAGUUGAAGGUCAUAUUUUGGAAACGGUAACAGUGGCUCUGGUAGGGAGUUCACAACAUGGUUGGUUCUGAGCAGGACCAACCAUGUGUUAGGGAAAAUAUUUAUUCAAUAGAAAAAUGAAUAAAAACCAGAAAGAGAAGAAGAGAAUUGCUGAUUCUGGAAAUGGCAAGGUGGCUGGUCCUGGAACUCAGCUUAGUCCACCCCUUGGCAGUUUUUAAUGUAUUCUCAGGGUAAGAUGUGUACAUGUAUUUGUAAAUGAGGCAUGAAUUUAAAGAACUGUUACUUCUGGGAACCCAGGAAGCUUUGCUGAGGGAUCUUACCCUGGAGAGCACAGUAUAAAAGAAAGUAAUUCUCUCUCUUGCCUCAUAGCAACUACUUUGGGGAAGGGACUUUACAAACAUCUGCCCCAAGGCUGGGUGACAGCUGCAUAUCUGUGCAGUGUUUGUACGGGGCAUGCAAUACUUUACACACUAGCAGGGACACCUGCAGCAUCAGUAGGUUUCUGGUCUACCAAGAGCAGUGUGAUGAUGCACUCCAGGCCAGCUGGGGUGGUUGCUGUGGCGAGUAACAUUGUUAAUUCUACCAACACAGGGGGCUGAUGGGUAAAUGACACUGUUGGCAUCAGCAGUGGGCAUGGUGUGCUAACCCUUAACACUGUGCCAGGUGGGGAUGUUGGACCCAGUGGGGAUUACAGUUUUGCUAUCUGUGUGUAAGAACAAUGCUCAGAACAGUGUGCAGCAUGGGUUGUGCAGUGCACGACAGGGGCAUGUGUGAGCACUCAGCAGAUUAUUGGAACUCCUUGGAAAACUGGACCAAGACCUCCAAGGCAGAAGGGUGCUUGGGGAUAUCACUGGAACUGUGAAAUAACCAUACAUAAAAACUAAGACAUUGUGAUCAAAGUACAUAAUGUGCUGGCUAGUUUUUAUUUUUAUAUUGGUUUAUAUUUUAUUUUGUUUCCCAUCUCUUGUCACUCCAACUUAUUUGAAGCACUAUUGUCAAGAAUGACAUUUUAAAGCAUAAUUUGCUGGCCAAGUUACAAAUACUGCUCACCCUUGCUUCCACUCCAAACAAACAAACAAACAACAGCAACAACAAAUGCUCCCAUUUUCUAUACUAUGUCCAACAUCCUCUAGUCUGCCAUCUGCAAGCCUUCAUGAGUGGGUAGUUCCAGGGAUAUUUCUCAUUAGUCUCUUUCACAAACAGGUCCAGCAAAGAGAAUUACUGACCCUUGCUCUCACGCUUUCUGCACUCUCCUGGCCUUGGGACUGUGCUCCUUUUGUUUACCUUCUCUCAUUUUUUCUAGCUCCAAUCCUGCCGGUCCUUCAGGGCUCAGAUCCAAUGCAUGCCUUCCACAGUGCCCUUCCCACACCGCUCAGCUGGAUGCAAACUCUUCCUUUUCUGUGGCUCCUUGUGUUUUUUUUAUGAGGUUUUACCACUUUCCAUCUUCUGCACUUAUAAUUUGUAUGCAUGGGUCAUCUCCACUUAUUAAGGAUAAACCCCCUGCAGGCUGAAGCUUGGCCUGAUAUAACAUUGCUUUUCUGGGCAGGACCAACCAUGUGUUAGGGAAAAUAUUUAUUCA